GUGAGUAGUUCGGGCCUAACAGAGGCGCGGAGUCUGAGGACCAGGUGGCUCUGGCCUGGAGGCUGGGAGGGGUUUACGGAACGCCAAGGACCCAAGGAUCAUUGGCAGCCAGCCCUGGAACAUCAGUCUUCAGAGUGAAAGCAUUGCUUUACCAAUGUCUUGAUUUUGGACUUCUAGCCUCAAAACUAUAUGAUCACUGGAGCUCCAGCAGCUACAUUGGGCCACAAAACAAACUAGAAGAUGGAAGCCAAUGCUAAGGAUGAUGGGGAACAGAAAGAUAAAAGGAAUCUGGGUCCUUGAUGACCAUGGAGCCACCAAACCAGCCUUGGAUUAUCAACUUCUUUUAUAUAUGGAAAAGGAAAAUGUUUGCUUUUGGUAGCUCUGAAUCACCAGCAGAGGGCAGACAUUACUUACCUAAAGGAAAAAUCCAAGUUCCGCUCUGCCUUCAAGUAGAAACUACAACACCAGUAUCCGUCGGAACCAGCUGGCAGAUCAACAACCUCCCCUGGCCAUUUUCUUCCUCCAUGUCAUAACUGACACGAUUAAACUUGUUUCAUUCAGUCAUAGUUCUUAUCUGGAAAGAUUUGGUUUCUCCUUUUUUUGUGUGUCAACUAUU